rnacentral:rRNA from 1 species
UAUGAGACACGUAUGAGAGUAACUGUUCAUACGUUGACGGUAUUUAACAGAAAGUCACGGCUAACUACGUGCCAGCAGCGCGGUAAUACGUAGGUGGCAAGCGUUAUCCGGAUUUAUUGGGCGUAAAGAGAGUGCAGGCGGUUUCUAAGUCUGAUGUGAAAGCUUCGGCUUAACCGGAGAAGUGCAUCGGAAACUGGAUAACUUGAGUGCAGAAGAGGGUAGUGGAACUCCAUGUGUAGCGGUGGAAUGCGUAGAUAUAUGGAAGAACACCAGUGGCGAAGGCGGCUACCUGGUCUGCAACUGACGCUGAGACUCGAAAGCAUGGGUAGCGAACAGGAUUAGAUACCCUGGUAGUCCAUGCCGUAAACGAUGAGUGCUAGGUGUUGGAGGGUUUCCGCCCUUCAGUGCCGGAGCUAACGCAUUAAGCACUCCGCCUGGGGAGUACGACCGCAAGGUUGAAACUCAAAGGAAUUGACGGGGGCCCGCACAAGCGGUGGAGCAUGUGGUUUAAUUCGAAGCUACGCGAAGAACCUUACCAGGUCUUGACAUCUUGCGCCAACCCUAGAGUAGGGCGUUUCCUUCGGGAACGCAAUGACAGGUGGUGCAUGGUCGUCGUCAGCUCGUGUCGUGAGAUGUUGGGUUAAGUCCCGCAACGAGCGCAACCCUUGUUACUAGUUGCCAGCAUUAAGUUGGGCACUCUAGUGAGACUGCCGGUGACAAACCGGAGGAAGGUGGGGACGACGUCAGAUCAUCAUGCCCCUUAUGACCUGGGCUACACACGUGCUACAAUGGACGGUACAACGAGUCGCGAACUCGCGAGGGCAAGCAAAUCUCUUAAAACCGUUCUCAGUUCGGACUGCAGGCUGCAACUCGCCUGCACGAAGUCGGAAUCGCUAGUAAUCGCGGAUCAGCAUGCCGCGGUGAAUACGUUCCCGGGCCUUGUACACACCGCCCGUCACACCAUGAGAGUUUGUAACACCCAAAGUCGG